CCUCCCACAUGAAGACUUCAGUUUGAAACUCUAGUUUUACGAAAAUCCAUGAAAAGCUGAAAAACCACUUAGAAAAUUAUUUUUCAUAUGAAAACCUUUGUUUCGAACAUUCUACCACGAGAGGUAGAAAAUCACAUUCUGAAAGCCGUAUCAAAGUCAUAAGUGUCCAAAAAUCAUGAAUUUUUCAAAAAAAUCAUGAGUAACCAAAAACUCAUAAAUACGUCAUUCAAAAAUCCGCGAAUAAAAAUCAUUAACUGAACCACAUAAGAACAACUACUAAUAAGUAUAGAGGACAAAUUAACUAUACUAUCUCAUAUACACAAAAAGCAUCAAACUAUAAUUUAUACUGUGAAGGUUGGAAUCUCUAUCU
rnacentral:lncRNA from 1 species